rnacentral:tRNA from 1 species
GGCGGCGUGGCCGAGUGGUUAGGCAGGGGCCUGCAAAGCCCCGUACUUGGGUUCGAAUCCCAACGCCGCCUCCA